CCUACGGGUGGCAGCAGUGAGGAAUAUUGGUCAAUGGACGAGAGUCUGAACCAGCCAAGUAGCGUGAAGGAUGACUGCCCUAUGGGUUGUAAACUUCUUUUAUAUGGGAAUAAAAUGUUCCACGUGUGGGAUUUUGUAUGUACCAUAUGAAUAAGGAUCGGCUAACUCCGUGCCAGCAGCCGCGGUAAUACGGAGGAUCCGAGCGUUAUCCGGAUUUAUUGGGUUUAAAGGGAGCGUAGGUGGAUUGUUAAGUCAGUUGUGAAAGUUUGCGGCUCAACCGUAAAAUUGCAGUUGAGACUGGCAGUCUUGAGUACAGUAGAGGUGAGCGGAAUUCGUGGUGUAGCGGUGAAAUGCUUAGAUAUCACGAAGAACUCCGAUUGCGAAGGCAGUUCACUGGACUGCAACUGACACUGAGGCUCGAAAGUGUGGGUAUCAAACAGGAUUAGAUACCCCUGUAGUC
rnacentral:rRNA from 1 species